AUUGAACGCUGGCGGCAGGCUUAACACAUGCAAGUCGAGCGAGCGGCGGACGGGUGAGCAAUGUCUGGGAAACUGCCUGAUGGAGGGGGAUAACUACGGGAAACGGUAGCUAAUACCGCAUACCAUCAGAUGUGCCCAGAUGGGAUUAGCUAGUAGGUGGGGUAAUGGCUCACCAAGGCGACGAUCCAUAGCUGGUCUGAGAGGAUGACCAGCCACACUGGAACUGAGACACGGUCCAGACUCCUACGGGAGGCAGCAGUGGGGAAUAUUGGACAAUGGGCGAAAGCCUGAUGCAGCCAGGCCGCGUGUGUGAAGAAGGCCUUCGGAUUGUAAAGCACUGUCAGCGAGGAAGCGUUACUCAACGAGGAAGCACCGGCUAACUCCGUGCCAGCAGCCGCGGUAAUAC
rnacentral:rRNA from 1 species